rnacentral:rRNA from 1 species
GACAGAGGGGGCAAGCGUUGCUCGGAAUUACUGGGCGUAAAGGGCGCGUAGGCGGGAUGGCAAGUCGGUCGUGAAAUCCCUCGGCUCAACCGAGGAACGUCGAUCGAUACUGCUGUUCUUGAGGAUUGCAGAGGAGACUGGAAUUCCCGGUGUAGCGGUGAAAUGUGUAGAGAUCGGGGAGGAACACCGGUGGCGAAGGCGGGUCUCUGGGCAAUUCCUGACGGCUGAGGCGCGAAAGCGUGGGGAGCAAACGGG